AGAAAGGAUCCGUCUAAUGUAAAUAUGACGUCACGUUCUCGUUCUAACUCUCGUUGUAAUCGGAGCGGCUCGGCUGUAAUCGGAAAGGGUCGGGGUGGGCAGGACGCGGGAAGAUCGCGGGAAGAUCGAGAAGAGACGUCGUUCUAACUCUCGUUGUAAUCAGAGCAGUGGUAACCACUCAAAGUCCUCAAGAGAUAGGAAACGACAGCAGUGUGGGACCUUAUUGCGGGAAAUUACUGAGCACACAUACCACCUACAGGAUGAGACGUUCAUGUGUACAGUGAUAUCAAGACUAAAUGAUCUUUUGGAGGACGUAAAGCAACACACCCCACAUGACAGUAGUCUUCCUCUCACCUUCACGCCCCCCAAACACAAAAGGCAGAAGAGGACCAUAACACCUCUCAGUACCAGCCAUCGUAGACACCCUUUUUCAGGCCGGGUGGGUCAUAAAGCUGAGGUCAUGAGAUCCAACUACAGAGUGGACAGCUUGAACAAGAUUUUAAAAGCUAAGUCCCCAGAGUCUAAUGCGGGAGGAGCAGGCAGGGGUACGAAGAGGAGGAUAGAUGCUUUAGGCACCACCGCCAGGUGAAUGUUGGAAGCUUGGAGAUGAAUGGAGCUGUAAAGAGGUGGUAAGUAAAACAACGUUUUUAAUCCAUUGCAUGUGAUUUAUGUAGUUAUAAAAAGUAUAUCAUAAGCUGUCAUUACAGUCUAAAUAUCUAACAGCAAAAGGAGGAGAGUCUGAGGAGGAGAGGAGAUGAGGAGAACAGAGGAGAGGAGACAGCAAA